CAAGGAAUAUUGGGCAAUGGGCGAAAGCCUGACCCAGCGACACCGCGUGGGGGAAGAAGACCUUCGGGUUGUAAACUCCUUUUAUUGGGGAAGAAUAAUGACGGUACCCGAUGAAUAAGCCCCGGCUAACUACGUGCCAGCAGCCGCGGUAAUACGUAGGGGGCAAGCGUUAUCCGGAUUUACUGGGCGUAAAGCGGGUGUAGGCGGCCUGUCAAGUCAGAUGUGAAAUCUCCUGGCUCAACUGGGAGGGUGCAUUUGAUACUGAUGGGCUAGAGUGCAGCAGAAGAAGAUGGAAUUCCCGGUGUAGUGGUGAAAUGCGUAGAUAUCGGGAAGAACACUAGUGGCGAAGGCGGUCUUCCGGGCUGUAACUGACGCUGAGACCCGAAGGCGUGGGGAGCAAACAGG
rnacentral:rRNA from 1 species